GAUGAACGCUGGCGGCGUGCCUAAUACAUGCAAGUCGAGCGAAUGGAUUAAGAGCUUGCUCUUAUGAAGUUAGCGGCGGACGGGUGAGUAACACGUGGGUAACCUGCCCAUAAGACUGGGAUAACUCCGGGAAACCGGGGCUAAUACCGGAUAACAUUUUGAACCGCAUGGUUCGAAAUUGAAAGGCGGCUUCGGCUGUCACUUAUGGAUGGACCCGCGUCGCAUUAGCUAGUUGGUGAGGUAACGGCUCACCAAGGCAACGAUGCGUAACCGACCUGAGAGGGUGGUCGGCCACACUGGGACUGAGACAAGGCCCAGACUCCUACGGGAGGCAGCAGUAGGGAAUCUUCCGCAAUGGACGAAAGUCUGACGGAGCAACGCCGCGUGAGUGAUGAAGGCUUUCGGGUCGUAAAACUCUGUUGUUAGGGAAGAACAAGUGCUAGUUGAAUAAGCUGGCACCUUGACGGUACCUAACCAGAAAGCCACGGCUAACUACGUGCCAGCCGCCGCAGUAA
rnacentral:rRNA from 1 species